GAUGAACGCUGGCGGCGUGCCUAAUACAUGCAAGUCGAGCGAACGGACGAGAAGCUUGCUUCUCUGAUGUUAGCGGCGGACGGGUGAGUAACACGUGGAUAACCUACCUAUAAGACUGGGAUAACUUCGGGAAACCGGAGCUAAUACCGGAUGAUAUUUUGAACCGCAUGGUUCAAAAGUGAAAGACGGUCUUGCUGUCACUUAUAGAUGGAUCCGCGCUGCAUUAGCUAGUUGGUAAGGUAACGGCUUACCAAGGCAACGAUGCAUAGCCGACCUGAGAGGGGGAACGGCCACACUGGAACUGAGACACGGUCCAGACUCCUACGGGAGGCAGCAGUAGGGAAUCUUCCGCAAUGGGCGAAAGCCUGACGGAGCAACGCCGCGUGAGGGAUGAAGGGCUUCGGGUCGUAAAACUCUGUUAUUAGGGAAGAACAAAUGUGUAAGUAACUGUGCACAUCUUGACGGUACCUAAACAGAAAGCCACGGCUAACUACGUG
rnacentral:rRNA from 1 species